rnacentral:rRNA from 1 species
CCCCAGACUCCUACGGGAGGCAGCAGUGGGGAAUAUUGCACAAUGGGGGAAACCCUGAUGCAGCGACGCCGCGUGAGUGAAGAAGUAUUUCGGUAUGUAAAGCUCUAUCAGCAGGGAAGAAAAUGACGGUACCUGACUAAGAAGCCCCGGCUAACUACGUGCCAGCAGCCGCGGUAAUACGUAGGGGGCAAGCGUUAUCCGGAUUUACUGGGUGUAAAGGGAGCGUAGACGGCAUGGCAAGUCAGAUGUGAAAGCCCGGGGCUCAACCCCGGGACUGCAUUUGAAACUGUCAGGCUGGAGUGCAGGAGAGGUAAGUGGAAUUCCUAGUGUAGCGGUGAAAUGCGUAGAUAUUAGGAGGAACACCAGUGGCGAAGGCGGCUUACUGGACUGUAACUGACACUGAGGUACGAAAGCGUGGGGAGCAAACAGGAUUAGAUACCCUAGUA